rnacentral:rRNA from 1 species
UACAGAGGGUGCGAGCGUUGUCCGGAAUCACUGGGCGUAAAGGGCGCGUAGGCGGCGCGGUAAGCGUGCGGUGAAAGCCCGGGCUCAACCCCGGGUCGGCCGUGCGGACUGCCGGGCUGGAGCACUGUAGAGGCAGGUGGAAUUCCGGGUGUAGCGGUGGAAUGCGUAGAGAUCCGGAAGAACACCGGUGGCGAAGGCGGCCUGCUGGGCAGUAGCUGACGCUGAAGCGCGACA